AUGAUAAUAAUAUCAUUUAAUAGAAUAUAAUACUAAUAUUUAAAUAUGAUAAAAAGGAUCUUUAAUAAGAUCCAAUCAAAGCAUGAAAAUGUAAGGUAGAAAUUAAGUGGAAUGAAACAUCUGAGUAACUUAAAAGUAACCAACAGGGGCUAUAUUAGUAUCGGUGAGAGAAAGUAUAGUAGUCUUAAAGUAAUAUCAAGAGGUAUGAAUAUAGUAGUGUCUACUACUAAGACAAUAAAUAAAUAUUAAGUAAAAAGUACCGUAAGGGAAAGUAUUGAAAUUGAAUGAUAAAGAGCAGUCAUAGUAUGGCGUACCUUUUGUAUAAUGGGCCAGUGAGUUAUUUAUAUUAGCGAAAUAUUAUAAAUUUUAAAGAAAUUGAGAAUUUAACAAUCUACAGUUAAUAUAAAUAGGCCCGAAAGCAAACGAUUUACACAUCUCUAAGUAUAUUUAUUUAUUUAUAUAUAAAUAUGACUGAAUAGGUGGAUGUUGCAAUAUCCUCUAAAGAGAGGUGUGUGGUGGUGACAGACAAAUCUGGUUUGCAGAUAGCUGGUUUUCUGCGAAAUAUAUUUUAGUAUAGCCUAUUUUAAAAGUAAAAACUGGUACAGCACUUAAAUUUAUAAUUUAGGGGAUUAGAAAUAAUUUUACUAAAAGAUUUAAACCUCGGAAACAGUAUUUUAUUUAAAAUGGAGUCAGACUUAUUGCGAUAAGGUAGUAGGUCUAAAUGGAAACAACCAAGAUUAUUAACCAAAUGUCCCAUAAUAUAUGUUAAGUGAACUUAAUCAUUUUUUUUUAUAAGACAAUCAGUCAGCGGGUUUGACAAUAAUCACCUGUUAAUGGACAUGUAACAAUGCACUGAUUUGAUAAUUUUAUUUGAGAUAAUAUACGGGUCUAAACAUAUUACAUUGGUAUAAUUUUAAAUAUUUAUACAUAUUUAAAAGGUAGCAGAAUAUAUGAUGAAAAUAAAAAUCAUAAAGAAUAUGCUGGCUUGAGUAACGAUAGAUAGUAUAAGACUAUCCCCCUAAAUCAUAAGGUUUAACUAUAAACGAACGGACCCUAAGAUGAAGCAGAAAUGUGAAAUUGAUGGGAGAAAGAACAAGAAAAGGAAAAGGAACCGUACUGUAGACCGACACAGGUAUGAUAAAGGGGAAUGAGAUAACUACUAUGAAUGAACUCGGCAAAUAAGUGUAAAGCUUUAAGUCGUGCGACUGUUUACCAAAAACAUAGCUUAUUGCAUAUUAGCAAUAAUAAGUAUAAUAAGUGAUAUCUGCCCGGUGUAUGCUGAAUAAUUAAUUUAUAUUAACGUAUAAUUAAGAAAAAGUAUGUAAACGGCGGUCUUAUUGUGAGGAUCCGAAGGUAGCGAAAUUCAUUGACGCAUAAUUGGUGUCCUGCAUGAAUGAAUACACGAUGCGACUACUGUAUCCAUAGUAGACUCAGUGAAAUAGUAUUCGCGGUGAAGAUACCGUGUAACCGUAGAUUGACAAAAAGACCCUAUGCAGCUUUACUAUCUCCCUAUUUUGUAUUCUUUCUUUAUUUUUUUCAGUUUAUUAGGUUUUUAUUAAUUAACUCAGUGAGAUACCUAUAUUAAUAAAGAAGAAUUCUUAUCAUUUUUAUUAUUAUCCUUAAUAAUAUUCUUUGAGACAUAAUAAGGUUGUUAGUUUCGAUGGGGCGUCGACAUCAGCGAAAGCAUCUGAUGUGUCUAUUAAUCUUUUAUUAUAUUAAUCUUUUUAAUUAAUAGUUAUACUCCGUACAAUAAUUCUCUAUCUAGCAAAUAGAAACUAUUUAAUGUUAUGUAAGGAUAACAACAUAAUUGUGCGUUGAUAAUAACACUAACAAGUGGAAUUAGUACUUACGUAGAGUGUAGUGAACAGGCAUAUUCAAUAGAUAAGGAUGUCGAUAACGGAUUAAAGUUACGCUAGGGAUUAACUGUUAGUCCCAUAACUUGGUGACAAGUUAUAUAAAUUAAUUGGGUGAAUUGCAAAAAUAUCUCAUUGAGACAAUUUGCAGCGAAGUAUAUACUAGCUUUUAUUAGGUAUAUAAACGUUCAACGACUAGAAGAUGAGUAAGCUAACAAUAAUUCUUCCACGAGUGCCCAACAUCUUUUAUAUUAAAAGAUGAUGACAUAGUCUGAACAUUAUGGCAACAUAAUGAUAUAUUAUUUAAAUGAUAAUAUGGUAACAUAAUUGAACAGGGUAAUACCGCGUGAGAGUUGAUAUCGUCAGCGGUGUUUGCCACCUCGAUUAAAUUUACGAUAGUUGAGGUUAAAUGGGGUUAAUUGCAAGGAAAUCUAAGGUUUAUAUUUAAACUAUGACAACUUGCAGCGAAUUUAAUUAUAUAUGCUCUUAUUGAGAAAGUAAUUAAAACGUUCAACGACUAGUAGGUGAGUAAUAUAACAAUAACCCUACCACGAAAUCCCAAAUAAUUAUACUUUUUAUUUAAAUAUAGAAAUUAUAAUUAUUAAGACAUAGUCUGAACUAUAUAGAAAUAUAUAGAAGUUAAUAUAAAGAGAUUAACGAUAACAAUAAUGGUCGUCUAAACUCAUCCUCCCGGUAGCAGCAACUGGGUAGGGUAGGACUGUUCGUCCUCUAAGGAGUUACUUGAGAUGGGUUAAUUACGACGUGAGUCAGUAAUGAUUUUAUCAUCUAUGGUUUUAACUUAUUUUUAUAGCCUCAAGUGUACGAAAGGAUAGUGAGGUGUUUUCCUAUGGUUUUUUGUUAAUAAUUAUUUUAUUAUUAACAUUUUAGCUAAGAAAAUAAUGAUUACAUAUUGAAUGCAUCUCAAAUAUUAAAUCUUAUAAAUAAUAAGUUCACAUACGAGACUAGUAUGUAAUAGUU
rnacentral:rRNA from 1 species